GCUGCUUCUCUAUCAUAAUGUACAGGUUAGAAACAGAAAACAAAACAUACAAUCAUUUAAAACUAACAAGGAUUCUCAACCCUAAAAGCAUCUAUUAAUAAAGCCCUGGCUA